rnacentral:lncRNA from 1 species
CUUCAUAUUUAAGAUAGUUUGACUUAGGACCAAAUUAGAAUGAUACUCUUUUGGAAUAGAGGGAGUACUCUAAUAAGGCAAACUUUGAUCUUGUCAAAAGGUGUAUUGGUCUCUUUGGGCUCUUAUGUUUCUGUGAAAAUUGAGUCUUCAUACUAUAAUUCUUGGAAUUUUGGUAUUGAACAUGGGAAGAUCAGUAUCAUAAAUGUAUUGUAUCCGUAAAUUGUGUCAAAUAGUUUCAGCGUCUCACAGUUAUGUCUUAUUCUUAUAUUAGUCAUAGCUACAACUUUCUUGAAUCUUAAUUAUUAUUCCAUAGCUACAACUUUUCUUGAAUCUUCUACAGCUCAUUCAACUCACAUAUCUCAGAAGACUAGAUGACCAUGAUCUCACCAGAAUCAAUCUCUCUCUCUCUCUCUCU